rnacentral:rRNA from 1 species
AUCAACUUUCGAUGGUAGGAUAGAGGCCUACCAUGGUGGUAACGGGUAACGGGGUGUUAGGGCACGACACCGGAGAGGGAGCCUGAGAAACGGCUACCACAUCCAAGGAUGGCAGCAGGCGCGCAAAUUACCCAAUCCCGACACGGGGAGGUAGUGACAAUAAAUAACAAUACGGGGUUCUUUAGGAUCUCAUAAUUGGAAUGAGUACAAUUUAAAUCUCUUAACGAGGAACAAUUGGAGGGCAAGUCUGGUGCCAGCAGCCGCGGUAAUUCCAGCUCCAAUAGCGUAUAUUAAAGUUGUUGCAGUUAAAAAGCUCGUAGUUGAAUUUCGGGGUCAGUAGGUUGGUCGUGCCACCGGUACGUACUGGUCUCACUGAUUCCUCCUUCCUGAUGAGCUGUAAUGCCAUUAAUUUGGUGUUGCAGGGAAUCUGGACUGUUACUUUGAAAAAAUUAGAGUGUUUAAAGCAGGCUAACGCUUGAAUACAUUAGCAUGGGAUAAUGAAAUAGGACGUUCGAUCCUAUUUUGUUGGUUUCUAGGAUUGACGUAAUGAUUAAUAGGGAUAGUUGGGGGCAUUAGUAUUCAAUUGUCAGAGGUGAAAUUCUUGGAUUUAUUGAAGACUAACUACUGCGAAAGCAUUUGCCAAGGAUGUUUUCAUUAAUCAAGAACGAAAGUUAGGGGAUCGAAGACGAUCAGAUACCGUCGUAGUCUUAACCAUAAACUAUGCCGACUAGGGAUCGGAUGAUGUUAAUUUUUUAAUGACUCAUUCGGCGCCUUACGGGAAACCAAAGUGUUUGGGUUC